rnacentral:rRNA from 1 species
CACGUAGGGUGCGAGCGUUGUCCGGAUUUAUUGGGCGUAAAGAGCUCGUAGGCGGUUUGGCAAGUCGGGUGUGAAAACUCCGGGCUCAACUCGGAGACGCCACUCGAUACUGCCAUGACUCGAGUCCGGUAGGGGAGUGCGGAAUUCCUGGUGUAGCGGUGAAAUGCGCAGAUAUCAGGAGGAACACCGGUGGCGAAGGCGGCACUCUGGGCCGGUACUGACGCUGAGGAGCGAAAGCGUGGGGAGCGAACAGG